rnacentral:rRNA from 1 species
GACGAACGCUGGCGGCGUGCUUAACACAUGCAAGUCGAACGAUGAAGCCCAGCUUGCUGUGUGGAUUAGUGGCGAACGGGUGAGUAACACGUGAGUAACCUGCCCCUGACUCUGGGAUAAGCGUUGGAAACGACGUCUAAUACUGGAUAUGACUACUGGUCGCAUGGCGUGGUGGAGGAAAGAUUUUUUGGUUGGGGAUGGACGCGCGGCCUAUCAGCUUGUUGGUGAGGUAAUGGCUGAGCAAGGCGACGACGGGUCGCCGGCCUGAGAGGGUGACCGGCCACACUGCGACUGAGAAACGGCCCAGACUCCUACGGGAGGCAGCAGUGGGGAAUAUUGCACAAUGGGCGAAAGCCUGAUGCAGCAACGCCGCGUGAGGGAUGACGGCUUUCGGGUUGUAAACCUCUUUUAGUAGCGAAGAAGCGUAAGUGACGGUACCUGCAGAAAAAGCACCGGCUAACUACGUGCCAGCAGCCGCGGUAA